rnacentral:tRNA from 1 species
GCCACGGUGGUCUAGCGGUUAGAACGCUGGCCUUGUAAUCCUGGAGUCUCGAGUUCGAUUCCCGGCGGUGCCC